rnacentral:ncRNA from 1 species
GGUGCGUACGCUUAAAAGAGAAACAGGUGAGAGGCCUGUGCUGUCCCGCAGCUGUAAUGUGGAGCGGUCCUGCUAUGUCACUGGGAAACUGGGAAGACAAGGACGGCGAUGAAGCAGAGCCAGAAGAACUGCCUGAUGUAUA